UUCCCUCCGCAGAUCCUGGCGCUCAGGAGCGGACGGAGGGAGAGCGCAGAGAUGGCGCAGAGGAAAAGUUGCAGAUUCAGCGCGUCUGUGGGAAGAGGAGCCCAGCAUAGUCCUAUGUCACCAUCUCGAGCCCCAAGACUCUCCAUCUUAAAGGACGAAUACAAGGCCCCACCCGGAUGAAGGGGUGGCGUAGGACUGUGGACACCCAGACAAGCUCAUGGCAAGCGCACUGCUCUAUCCAAGGAUCACCACCUGGACUGGAGAGAGUGAAGACGGGUGAGAUGGAGCUCCGGGAAGGUAAAAAGGAAACAGCCACAGUUUAAACGAAAUCUGGUG